GACGAACGCUGGCGGCGUGCCUAAUACAUGCAAGUCGAGCGGACUGAUUAAGAGCUUGCUCUUAUGACGUUAGCGGCGGACGGGUGAGUAACACGUGGGCAACCUGCCCUGUAGAUCGGGAUAACACCGAGAAAUCGGUGCUAAUACCGGGUAAUAUCUGAGAUCACAUGAUCUUAGGUUAAAAGAUGGCUCCGGCUAUCACUACAGGAUGGGCCCGCGGCGCAUUAGCUAGUUGGUAAGGUAAUGGCUUACCAAGGCGACGAUGCGUAGCCGACCUGAGAGGGUGAUCGGCCACACGGGGACUGAGACACGGCCCAGACGCCUACGGGAGGCAGCAGUGGGGAAUCUGCCGCAAUGGACGAAAGUCUGACGGAGCAACGCCGCGUGAGUGAUGAAGGGUUGCGGCUCGUAAAGCUCUGUUGUUAGGGAAGAAACAGUACCGAACGAACUAGGUCGGUACCUUGACGGUACCUAACCAGAAAGCCACGGCUAACUACGUG
rnacentral:rRNA from 1 species